rnacentral:rRNA from 1 species
UACGGGGGGGGCAAGCGUUGUUCGGAAUUACUGGGCGUAAAGCGUGCGCAGGCGGUUUCUUAAGUCAGAUGUGAAAGCCCCGGGCUUAACCUGGGAACUGCGUUUGAAACUGGGAGACUAGAGUGUGGCAGAGGGGGGUGGAAUUCCACGUGUAGCAGUGAAAUGCGUAGAUAUGUGGAGGAACACCGAUGGCGAAGGCAGCCUCCUGGGCCAGCACUGACGCUCAUGCACGAAAGCGUGGGGAGCAAACAGG